GACGAACGCUGGCGGCGUGCCUAAUACAUGCAAGUAGAACGCACAGUUUAUACCGUAGCUUGCUACACCAUAAACUGUGAGUUGCGAACGGGUGAGUAACGCGUAGGUAACCCGCCUGGUAGCGGGGGAUAACUAUUGGAAACGAUAGCUAAUACCGCAUAAUAUUAAUUAUUGCAUGAUAAUUGAUUGAAAGAUGCAAUUGCAUCACUACCAGAUGGACCUGCGUUGUAUUAGCUAGUAGGUGAGGUAACGGCUCACCUAGGCGACGAUACAUAGCCGACCUGAGAGGGUGAUCGGCCACACUGGGACUGAGACACGGCCCAGACUCCUACGGGAGGCAGCAGUAGGGAAUCUUCGGCAAUGGACGAAAGUCUGACCGAGCAACGCCGCGUGAGUGAAGAAGGUUUUCGGAUCGUAAAGCUCUGUUGUAAGAGAAGAACGGGUGUGAGAGUGGAAAGUUCACACUGUGACGGUAGCUUACCAGAAAGGGACGGCUAACUACGUG
rnacentral:rRNA from 1 species